GCAACAUACUUGACUCUUACUUUGUAAUGAUUGAGAAUGAUAUUGACUAAGCCAAAGAUUGUAGCGGUCAUCUCCUUUAAAAUCAUCUUCUAGCUCCAAAGAAUGUCUCAUAGAUGAAGCAUACAAAAUAGACAUAGACUCAGGUGUUUCAGUAUAAACUUCAUUCUUUUGUCCUAGAUGAUAUAAAUUCAUCAGUAACAUAAACUAAUUUUGUAGUUUUUCAAUAUAAACCUUUUUUGUUAA